rnacentral:rRNA from 1 species
CCUACGGGUGGCAGCAGUGAGGAAUAUUGGUCAAUGGGCGAGAGCCUGAACCAGCCAAGUAGCGUGAGGGAUUACUGCCCUAUGGGUUGUAAACCUCUUUUGUCGGGGAGCAAAAGCCGGACGGGUCCGGCUGUGAGAGUUCCCGAAGAAAAAGCAUCGGCUAACUCCGUGCCAGCAGCCGCGGUAAUACGGAGGAUGCGAGUGUUAUUCGGUUUUAUUGGGGUUAAAGGGUGCGGAGGGGGAUUUUUAAGGCAGGGGUAAAAUCGUGGGGCAAAAACCAAUUCAGCCGUUGAAACUGUGGACCUAGAGUGUGUGAGAGGUAUGCGGAAUGGGUGGUGUAGCGGUGAAAGGAAU